rnacentral:misc_RNA from 1 species
AUAGAUUAUUCGAACACCACGAAGCAUUUUCUGUAUGCGUAAAGCUUGUUAAACAUCUCUACGCUGCAGUCCGUCACUUUCUAUGCCAUACAGAAUAUAUGUUUCUCUUUCAAGAUCAGAAGGAACACCAACCUUUUUUAAGGCAUGAUACCAGAAGUCGAAAGAAGUGUCGUCUCUUGAUCAACUUCCAACUUGCUGUUAGUCUCAGGGCAACUUUAAAGCACGAACGAGUUCUCAACACUAAAAGUUGUACAUCUACAUGAACUGCAAAAUGUUGAUCUCAUACAACUGCGAAGAAUUUUCUAAAUCCCCUACGAAUUCCACUUUUCACAUCUUAUAUGUCACAAUCUUCCCAGUCUUGUUUUCUUUCUUUUUCCCUUUUGCGGAGGCAGACGUUCCAUAAGCUGUUUGACAAGCUUUGACUACAUUGCAAACAUGAAAAUCAUCCCUUGGUAUAUUAUUGAGAAUAUUUGCUGCAGAUUUGUAGUCCCCUAAUGCCAACAAGGCUCGAU